GACGAACGCUGGCGGCGUGCUUAACACAUGCAAGUCGAGCGGUAAGGCCCUUUCGGGGGUACGACGAGCGGCGAACGGGUGAGUGACACGUGGGUGACCUGCCCUUAGCUCUGGGAUAAGCCUGGGAAACUGGGUCUAAUACCGGAUAUGACUCCAUGACGCAUGUUGUGGGGUGGAAAGCCUUGUGCGGCUAGGGAUGGGCCUGCGGCCUAUCAGCUUGUUGGUGGGGUGANGGCCUACCAAGGCGACGACGGGUAGCCGGCCUGAGAGGGCGACCGGCCACACUGGGACUGAGACACGGCCCCAGACUCCUACGGGAGGCAGCAGUGGGGAAUCUUGCGCAAUGGGCGAAAGCCUGACGCAGCGACGCCGCGUGGGGAUGACGGCCUGG
rnacentral:rRNA from 1 species